GGUAUAUAUGUGAAGGAAUGACGGAGAGAGGAAGCUGCAGCCAGCGGCUGGAAGAGCUGGUGCAAGCGAGAUAUCGGGAUGGCAGGCAAAUCCACCAUCCGAUACGAGAAGGCGUGAAGCGUACGGAAAGCUACGGCGAGUACGGAAGGCAGUGGAGGAACUUCCAAGAAAAAUUUCUAACGUUAAGUAUAUAUGGCCCGUACCGAAAAUGGACACACAUGGGUGAGGAGAGAAUCCUAAGGUGAGCGAGAGAACUAUAGCUAAGGAACUCUGCAAAAUGACUCCGUAACUUAGGGAGAAGGAGUGCUCAUAGAGAUAUGAGCCGCAGUGAAACGGCCCAAGCGACUGUUUACCAAAGACACAGCUCUCUGCUAAGCCGCAAGGCGAAGUAUAGGGGGUGACGCCUGCCCGGUGCUGGAAGGUUAAGGGGAGGGGUUAACGCAAGUGAAGCCCUGAACUGAAGCCCCAGUAAACGGCGGCCGUAACAAUAACGGUCCUAAGGUAGCGAAAUUCCUUGUCAGGUAAGUUCUGACCCGCACGAAAGGCGUAACGAUUUGGGCGCUGUCUCAGCUGUAGACUCGGUGAAGUCUUAGUACCUGUGAAGAUGCAGGUUACCCGCGACUAGACGGAAAGACCCCAUGGAGCUUCACUGCAGGUUGAUAUUGGGAUUUGAUGCAGCAUGUACAGGAUAGGUAGGAGGCAAAGAGAUGGAUACGCCAGUAUUCAAGGAGCCGCUGUUGGGAUACUACCCCUGUUGUAUUGGAUUUCUAACCGGACGACGUAGAGGCGUUGACGGGACAGUGUCAGUCGGGCAGUUUGACUGGGGCGGUCGCCUCCCAAAGAGUAACGGAGGCGCCCAAAGAUACCCUCAGCUUGGAUGGAAACCAAGCGCAGAGUGCAAAGGCAAAAGGGUGUUUGACUGCGAGACCCACAAGUCGAGCAGGGACGAAAGUCGGGCUUAGUGAUCCGGCGGUGCUGAAUGGAAAGGCCGUCGCUCAACGGAUAAAAGCUACCCUGGGGAUAACAGGCUGAUCUCCCCCAAGAGUUCACAUCGACGGGGAGGUUUGGCACCUCGAUGUCGGCUCAUCGCAUCCUGGAGCUGAAGUCGGUUCCAAGGGUUGGGCUGUUCGCCCAUUAAAGCGGUACGCGAGCUGGGUUCAGAACGUCGUGAGACAGUUCGGUCCCUAUCUGUCGUGGGCGCAGGAAAUUUGAGAAGAGCUGUCCUCAGUACGAGAGGACCGGGAUGGACGCAUCAAUGGUGGACCAGUUGUCACGCCAGUGGCAUAGCUGGGUAGCUAAAUGCGGAAGGGAUAAACGCUGAAGGCAUCUAAGUGUGAAACCCACUUCAAGAUGAGAUUUCCCAUUGCGCAAGCAAGUAAGACCCCUUAAAGACGAUAAGGUAGAUAGGUCAGGAGUGUAAGCAUGGUGACAUGUUAAGCGGACUGAUACUAAUAGGUCGAGGGCUUGACC
rnacentral:rRNA from 1 species